ACUGCUCAGUAACACGUGGGCAACCUGCCUUUAUACAGGGGGAUAGCCACCCGAAAGGGUGAUUAAUACCGCAUAACACUGAUUUGUUACAUGACAGAUCAGUCAAAGGAGCAAUCCGGUAUAAGAUGGGCCCGCGCCCCAUUAGAUAGUUGGUGAGGUAACGGCUCACCAAGUCAACGAUGGGUAGCCGACCUGAGAGGAUGAACGGCCACAUUGGAACUGAGACACGGUCCAGACUCCUACGGGAGGCAGCAGUGGGGAAUAUUGCGCAAUGGGGGAAACCCUGACGCAGCAACGCCGCGUGAGCGAUGAAGGCCUUCGGGUCGUAAAGCUCUGUCUUUUGGGACGAUAAUGACGGUACCAAAGGAGGAAGCCACGGCUAACUACGUGCCAGCAGCCGCGGUAAUACGUAGGUGGCGAGCGUUGUCCGGAAUUACUGGGCGUAAAGGGUGCGUAGGCGGAAGCUUAAGUCAGAUGUGAAAUCCCAAGGCUCAACCUUGGAGUUGCAUUUGAAACUGGGUUUCUUGAGUGCAGGAGAGGAAAGCGGAAUUCCCAGUGUAGCGGUGAAAUGCGUAGAUAUUAGGAAGAACACCAGUGGCGAAGGCGGCUUUCUGGACUGUAACUGACGCUGAGGCACGAAAGCGUGGGGAGCAAACAGGAUUAGAUACCCUGGUAGUCCACGCUGUAAACGAUGAGUGCUAGGUGUGGGGGGUUUCGACACCCUCCGUGCCGCAGUAAACGCAAUAAGCACUCCGCCUGGGGAGUACGGUCGCAAGACUAAAACUCAAAGGAAUUGGCGGGGGAGCAC
rnacentral:rRNA from 1 species